AAACGGGCCGUGCUCAGGCCUCUACCUUCCCGUUUAGCAGUUUUUUGUUUUAAUAUUUUACAAGUCACUAGGUCAGGCCAUCUCAUCUCUCAACCCAGCCCAAGGCCUCUUGCUGGCCAGCGCCCCUAUACCUGCCUCCUCCCCUCCUCCCGAUCUGGAUUGAGGAGCACGGCCCGUUUAAAUAUUUUCAUUUUUUUUUAUAAAUAUGUUUCAUAUGGGCAUCUCAUUUGACCCAUUGGGGGAAGAACGGGUACGAAACACAUGGAUCUGGAUUGAGGAAGCCGACUAGCCGAGGUCCCAAUCCCCAUCACCUACUGGUGCUCCAGCGGAAGAUCCCUCGACAAAAAUCUUCACGCGAAUCGGAUUCAGUUCGUAUCACGGCACAGGCGCCGCCGCCGCCGCCGCCGCAAGCACCCUGCCGCAGUCGGCGCACCUACACCCCUCGUAGUACCAAUGGUAGCACGGGCUGCCCUAGGGCGCUCCCGCCAUCGGUGCCGCCAGCCACGAGCAUCGCCGGCAGCCGCCAGGGCCUGGAUCUUCCAUCGCAUGACCACCAGUAGUCCACCAUCGCCGUGGACCGUGUUCUUGGAGAUGAGUACCGUGACGACGUGCACGUGCGCCUGCCUGCGCUACAAAUGCCAUCAGUACCUUUCCGGCGAAUCCAAUUUGUUUUGCUAGUACUCCAGCUUGCAUUUGUAACCAAACUAAUAAUAAGCUUAAUUAUUUUCAAGAUCUACUGGUCCAGUCUUUCGGAAGUGCUCAUACGGU
rnacentral:lncRNA from 1 species